rnacentral:rRNA from 1 species
CAGCACCUCAAGUGGUCAGGAUGAUUAUUGGGCCUAAAGCAUCCGUAGCCGGCGCUGUAAGUUUUCGGUUAAAUCUGUACGCUCAACGUACAGGCUGCCGGGAAUACUGCAGCGCUAGGGAGUGGGGGAGGUAGACGGUACUCGGUAGGAAGGGGUAAAAUCCUUUGAUCUAUUGAUGACCACCUGUGGCGAAGGCGGUCUACCAGAACACGUCCGACGGUGAGGGAUGAAAGCUGGGGGAGCAAACCGGAUUAGAGACCCGAGUAGUCC